rnacentral:lncRNA from 1 species
CGAGCACUCUAUUCCUUGGCUCAGACCACGCCAGACCGUAGAAAUGUCUGUAACUGUAUUAAAAAUGCAAUAUCUGGAUUUUCAUUCAGUUCGACCAACCUUAAUCUCGCGGCUGGCCUUCCUGCCAAAUGCGGCGUCAACCUUCCCUACAAGAUUAGUCCCAGCACUGACUGCAACAAGUAUUAACAUUACUAUUAACCUUGACAUUAAUUAAAUAUACCAUUCUUCAAAUCAUUUAUUUAUAUAAUGCAUUUAACAUGAUGUUGAUCCUCGUAAUAUUAUAUUGACUUGUGUUAUUGUUUUGCAGCAUCGUGUGAGGAGAUAUAUAUGUAUAAAAAGAUAUGGACAACCAGACAACUCCCUCCAUGAUCAAGAAGUACUAUGAGAAAUAAAGGGACGGCCGGCGCCUGCCUCUCUUGGAAGUUGGGUUUCCUAUAUUAUUUAUAGAACCAGCUCUUUUAGAUGUCUCCCUACCUAUUAUGUUCACGUAACUCCAUCUAUAUAUAU